AGAGCGAACGCUGGCGGCAGGCCUAACACAUGCAAGUCGAGCGCCCCGCAAGGGGAGCGGCAGACGGGAGAGUAACACGUGGGAACGUACCCUUCAGUUCGGAACAACCCAGGGAAACUUGGGCUAAUACCGAAUACGUCCGUAAGGAGAAAGAUUUAUCGCUGAAGGAUCGGCCCGCGUCUGAUUAGCUUGUUGGUGAGGUAAUGGCUCACCAAGGCUACGAUCAGUAGCUGGUCUGAGAGGAUGAUCAGCCUCACUGGGACUGAGACACGGCCCAGACUCCUACGGGAGGCAGCAGUGGGAAUAUUGGACAAUGGGCGCAAGCCUGAUCCAGCCAUGCCGCGUGGGUGAUGAAGGCCCUAGGGUUGUAAAGCCCUUUCGGCGGGGAAGAUAAUGACGGUACCGCAGAAGAAGCCCCGGCUAACUUCGUGCCAGCAGCCGC
rnacentral:rRNA from 1 species